GGUUUAUGGCUAAUAUGCUUUUAUAUUGAGGAUUAGGAAUUGGGUGCCCUAUCUUUUUUUUUUUUUUUUUGGCUAAUAUUACGGUAUUUUAAAGGUUUUCACUGUGAUGGCUUGAGUUGAAUUUCUGGUGGCUUACAAGAGUGGUCUGCAGCUGUUAGACUCCAAAACAAGAAAGGUGCUUCAGAGAAGACAAGGUCAUCUUUGCUGCACCUGUGGCUUCUCCUUAACAAAGGUACACCCUUUCAUGCAUCCUACACUACCCAGGAAAUGAUGUCAUGGCUUUAAGGAGGCGCUAUCAGAUGCAAUGAGUAUGCCCACACCCCCUCCAAAAUACCUUUUCUGCAUCUGAUCCAAAGAGCAUCCAUAAGUUACAACUUAGAGAAAUACAGAGCUUCAUGUCCUGAACAAAUUAUCACAGCAUUUUAUUGGGCUGGGUACUCCAUUCUUGACACUUCAGUCUGAAAGGUAACUUAAGAACUGUAAAGAGUCACUCUGUAAUGGACAGAAGAAAUAACCCCGAGGAACAGGAGCACAGCCACAACCAAGACAACAAUCAGAUAAAAGAAAUCUGAAUCUGGAAUAGAAAUAUAAAUUUGAAGUGUCAUCUCAGACAUGACCUAUUUCUUAUGAAGAUAAACUGAAGAAGCGGACUUGCAAGAUUCUGUUACUCAAACAAAAUAAAAGUAGUAUUAACUUA